CAGGAAGCCAGGGUUUCAGCCGACAAGGGAGUGGGGUGAGGUGAGGUGGCCUCUCCUGCUCUAAUUCCCAGUCUCAGUGUAUUUAAGUAAGUGUCUGCAAAGACAACAAUGCAUAAAUUAUGAGUACUCGAAGGCAGUUCCUGCGAAAGGAAGAGAAUUUAUAAAUGUUGCAGCACUGUUUCCUUCUGAGGGGUACCCAGUGAGUCAAAGGUCACUGUGAUGUUUACCUCUCUCUGUCUCCUGCUGGGGGAAGGAAGGGGUGACUCCUGCGUCAUUUCUCAGCAUCUCAGCAACACCAGAGGGGAUAGGAGGUCCUUCACUCUUCUCCAGUCAAGCCAGGUGAGGAAAUCGGUGGUGAGUGUUGAAGUCAGGGCUAGAACCCGGAUCAUUUUCCUUCAAGUCAUGAAUUGUGCCUCCAAACCACACAGAAACACUUCACAGACCCCAAAGGAAACGAUGAGUAGCAGAACUGAUCAUGAGUCUCCUAAGAUUGGGAAGGAAAGGAUUGGAAUUCAUUCAAAAUGAGGGAACAAAAUCAUUGAAUGAAACCCACAUUGUAGAAUCUGAGGGUGGCUAUGAAAGACGAGAACCAAAAUAAAACUGAACAAAUGAGGAACAAUACCUGCAGUUAUUCACACUUCAGGAAUCCAGAAUUUAAUAACCACGAACAGAACCUCAAAAAACAGCAAGUUCCAGAAAUAAACUUACUUCAAUGAUCAAGAAUCUUCAUCAUUGGGUGAAAUGGACUAUCACCUGGGAAUAUCUCUGCAAAUGCUGAAGCUCUGAUGUCCAGCUUAGGAAAGAUGAACUUCAAAUGUGAGCAUUUAGUCAACUGGGUCUUUCUUUUUAAUCACCACUCAAAACGAAAACAAAAACCUCUUUUUUUAACUGUUGGCUAAAUAAAAAUAGUAAUAGAUAAAAUCUGUCCUGAGCAAACAGACCAUACAUCAAUAAACUAACACUUAAGUCUAAGCUAUUUUCCAUGAGACCCGUGAAGCAUUUCUAAUUGAAACUUAAUAAGCUACAGUGCAGCAAAUACUGUAGUCUUCAGCUCUAGAAGGGAAAUGUGAUCCAGUAUGCAGACAUAGGAGCUUUUUAAUUUAGCUGGAAGCAAGUGUGCCCGUGUAGUUGUGUGGCAUAAUUUUUUUAAUUGCUGAAGUGUCACUGUUUGCUAUUUCACAUUUAUUGAAAAAUGUAAAUGCCACAUGUAAGAGAAUAGCAAUAUGUCUUGUUUCAGUCUGAUGGCUUAAUCUGACUAAUCAUGAUAAUAUAUGCUAGCUGGAGUUGGGAAUAUUUAAUAAAAUACUGAAAUACAUUUGUUGUGCUUACAUUUAAAAUAAAUCAAUAAAAACACCUGCGCCUGCAACAUUUAAACCUUUAUUGCUUUUACGUAAGAAACAGCACAAGGAUGAUCCUUUGACAAGAACAGAUGUACCUCGGUGAGGAUCUUCAUCACUUGGCACAAGGGGGCAGGUGUGCCAAGAGUGAGGCACGUGGUACCAGAGAGGGAGGGAAGGAUACUAGCAAGAUCUUACAUUUGUCUGUGCUUUCCAGGACUGAGUCAUCUGUGCGCACAUUUUUACAUUUGCAUUUCAUGGGCCUCUGAGAUGGCAGGGUGGACAUGGCCACCUGCAUUUUACAGAUGAGAUUCCUAAGGCUGGGGAAGAUACUGUUCCACUCCAGCCCACAAAGGUGAGGCCCAUGCUGUCCGCUCCCCCCCCCCCCCCGCCCCCCGCCCCCAAUGUACAUCAGUUACUCAUAGUCUACACACACCCUCAAACAGAUACGGUGUCUCUCUGCAACUUCUGUUUAAAGGGUUCUCUGACAUCAUGAAUCCCUUUUGUUGUAGUGAGUGGGAGUGGUUGCUUAGUCUAAAUCCUUCUACCCCUUUCCCUUCUUAGCACAGGUGGCAGUGGUGGGACCCGGGGACCUCGAGCUCCGGCACAGCUGCGAACGCAGCGUGGCACAGAUAAGUUAGUUGCUAAGUCAGAGCUCAAGGCUAAAACGUGAUUACUCAUACAACAGAUGCAAAAGGAUAAAAAAAGGUGAAUGACAGUUUUUCAAAGUUGAAACCUUGGUACUUUGGUUUUUGUGUGUGUGCUUUUUUAAAAACACAUUAUUUUUUUAAUAAGAAAUUCAAAAACCGUCCUGACAUGAAACGUCACCUUCCCCUUCCUCUGGGCCAUGGGCAAGUAAUUCUGCAAGGCCUAACUCAAGAACAAAUACUAGUUUGAAGUGGUUAGAAGGGAUCCCUGGGUGGCGCAGCGGUUUGGCGCCUGCCUUUGGCCCAGGGCGCGAUCCUGGAGACCCGGGAUCGAAUCCCACAUCGGGCUCCCGGUGCAUGGAGCCUGCUUCUCCCUCUGCCUGUGUCUCUGCCUCUCUCUCUCUGUGACUAUCAUAAACAUUAAAAAAAAAAAAAAAAGAUAAAAAAAAGAAGAAGGUAACAGUAUGAGGGAUUGUAAAGCAAAGUGUCAAGGCCCCCCAAGCUCCUUGUUCUUCCUUGAAGGCUUUCCGGCCUGGGGCCUGGGGCCGGACCACCCACCCCUUCUCCAGCAGGCGGCUCCCCGGGGGGAGCAUCUUACCUAGAGCCCCCCGGGGGACCCAAGACCCCCCCCCCCUCCCUCCGCCCCCCGCUCCCCGGGCUCUCCCUCCCCACCU
rnacentral:lncRNA from 1 species